GGAUGUGAGGGUGAUCUGGCUGUGACAUCUGUCACCCCACUGAUCACCAAAGUUGAUUUGUCUCUUGUCCGCUUCCUCCCUCACUACUCCAUGUGCAUUCCUCCUGAAACUGAAUGUUUAGUUGAAGAGGACAACCUUCCUUGAUAGAGACAUACCGUUUUUUAGUCAAAGGUAUACAAGUAGCUGUGCUCCUCUGCUAGAACAAACUCCCAAGGUCAAAAUAAUCACUAUCAAAUCUCUAACUCUGAUUUUUUCCAUAAUUUCAGACUCUGG
rnacentral:snRNA from 1 species